rnacentral:rRNA from 1 species
GCCUAAAGCGUCCGUAGCCGGCUCUGUAAGUUUUCGGUUAAAUCCAUAUGCUCAACAUAUGGGCCGCCGGGAAUACUGCAUAGCUAGGGAGUGGGAGAGGUAGACGGUACUCCGUAGGAAGGGGUAAAAUCCUUUGAUCUAUGGAUGACCACCUGUGGCGAAGGCGGUCUACCAGAACACGUUCGACGGUGAGGGAUGAAAGCUGGGGGAGCAAACCGGAUUAGAUACCCGGGUGGUCCCAGCUGUAAACUAUGCAAACUCAGUGAUGCAUUGGCUUGUGGCCAGUGCAGUGCCGCAGAGAAGUCGUUAAGUUUGCCGCCUGGGAAGUACGUACGCAAGUAUGAAACUUAAAGGAAUUGGCGGGGGAGCACCACAAGGGGUGAAGCCUGCGGUUUAAUUGGAGUCAACGCCAGAAAUCUUACCCGGAGAGACAGCAGGAUGAAGGUCAAGCUGAAGACUUUACCAGACAAGCUGAGAAGUGGUGCAUGGCCGUCGCCAGCUCGUGCCGUGAGGUGUCCUGUUAAGUCAGGUAACGAGCGAGAUCCUUGCCUCUAGUUGCCACCAUUACUCUCAGGAGUAGUGGGGCGAAUUAGCGGGACUGCCGUAGUUAAUACGGAGGAAGGAGAGGGCCACGGCAGGUCAGUAUGCCCCGAA